rnacentral:rRNA from 1 species
UCGAUUUGGAGUUUGUUGCCCUGAGUGAUGGGCUCCGAAGCUAACGCGAUAAAUCGACCGCCUGGGGAGUACGGCCGCAAGGUUAAAACUCAAAUGAAUUGACGGGGGCCCGCACAAGCGGUGGAGCAUGUGGUUUAAUUCGAUGCAACGCGAAGAACCUUACCUGGUCUUGACAUCCACAGAAUCUUGCAGAGAUGUGAGAGUGCCUUCGGGAACUGUGAGACAGGUGCUGCAUGGCUGUCGUCAGCUCGUGUUGUGAAAUGUUGGGUUAAGUCCCGCAACGAGCGCAACCCUUAUCCUUUGUUGCCAUCGGUUAGGCCGGGAACUCAAAGGAGACUGCCGUUGAUAAAGCGGAGGAAGGUGGGGACGACGUCAAGUCAUCAUGGCCCUUACGACCAGGGCUACACACGUGCUACAAUGGCGUAUACAAAGGGAGGCGACCUCGCGGGAGCAAGCGGACCUCAUAAAGUACGUCUAAGUCCGGAUUGGAGUCUGCAACUCGACUCCAUGAAGUCGGAAUCGCUAGUAAUCGUGAAUCACAAUGUCACGGUGAAUACGUUCCCGGGCCU